AACUAACGCUGGCAGUGCGUCUUAAGCAUGCAAGUCAAACGGGAUGUAGUAAUACAUUCAGUGGCGAACGGGUGAGUAACGCGUGGAUGAUCUACCUACGAGAUGGGGAUAACUAUUAGAAAUAGUAGCUAAUACCGAAUAAGGUCAAUUAAUUUGUUAAGUGAUGAAAGGAAGCCUUUAAAGCUUCGCUUGUAGAUGAGUCUGCGUCUUAUUAGCUAGUUGGUAGGGUAAAUGCCUACCAAGGCGAUGAUAAGUAACCGGCCUGAGAGGGUGAACGGUCACACUGGAACUGAGAUACGGUCCAGACUCCUACGGGAGGCAGCAGCUAAGAAUCUUCCGCAAUGGGCGAAAGCCUGACGGAGCGACACUGCGUGAAUGAAGAAGGUCGAAAGAUUGUAAAAUUCUUUUAUAAAUGAGGAAUAAGCUUUGUAGGAAAUGACAAAGUGAUGACGUUAAUUUAUGAAUAAGCCCCGGCUAAUUACGUGCCAGCAGCCGCGGUAAUACGUAAGGGGCGAGCGUUGU
rnacentral:rRNA from 1 species